UUUUCGCAAAACAAAAAAACUUUCUUUCUCUCCCUCCUUUCUUCCUCAAGCUGGAAGAAAAAUCCCAACUUCACCGACCCAGACGACCGGGUGGCAGCUAAACGCGUCGUCGCAGGGGUCCUUGAAUCGGGCCGAAUACUAUGUUCAGAGAGAGAGAGAAAAAGAGAGAAAUUAGUGUGGAAGAAGAGGAAGGAGGAGGAGAAUCAAAGAAAAAUGAAGGAGAGUUCUACUUUGAUGUGGGAUGACAUUGUUAAAAUACCUCCCGGAUGUUUCUACUAAUAACACCCAGAGGCAGUUACACAUGAGAAGGUCAUGACAUCUUUUAACUGGAUCAUUAAUUCAGUUUCAGUUGUUAUUUAAGAGUUGUCUUUUUAUAUUUUUAGCAUUAUAUCUUAUAUGUUAGAUAUGGAGAGACUACUGAAGUUAAGGACUGGGCAUGUAAUUAUCGAGAAAACAAUUACAAAGUGGAUUUUUAUGAAAUAUACUAUUUUUAU